UACGGAGGGUGCAAGCGUUAUCCGGAUUCACUGGGUUUAAAGGGUGCGUAGGCGGGCAGGUAAGUCAGUGGUGAAAUCUCCAAGCUUAACUUGGAAACUGCCGUUGAUACUAUCUGUCUUGAAUACCGUGGAGGUGAGCGGAAUAUGUCAUGUAGCGGUGAAAUGCUUAGAUAUGACAUAGAACACCAAUUGCGAAGGCAGCUCACUACGGAUAUAUUGACACUGAGGCACGAAAGCGUGGGGAUCAAACAGG
rnacentral:rRNA from 1 species